rnacentral:rRNA from 1 species
UACGUAGGGACCAAGCGUUGUUCGGAUUUACUGGGCGUAAAGGACGCGUAGGCGGCAAUUCAAGUCAGCUGUGAAAUCUCCGGGCUUAACUCGGAACGGUCAGCUGAUACUGUUUUGCUAGAGUGCAGAAGGGGCAAUCGGAAUUCUCGGUGUAGCGGUGAAAUGCGUAGAUAUCGAGAGGAACACCUGAGGUGAAGACGGGUUGCUGGGCUGACACUGACGCUGAUGCGCGAAAGCCAGGGUAGCAAACGGG